rnacentral:misc_RNA from 1 species
GCAAACUUGGUCAUUUAGAGGAAGUAAAAGUCGUAACAAGGUUUCCGUAGGUGAACCUGCGGAAGGAUCAUUAUCGAAUUACGUGCAAAGGUUGUCGCUGGCUCCUUCGGGGGCAUCGUGCAUGCCCUUGCUCAUAAUCCACUUACACCUGUGAACCUAAUGUGGGAGGCGAUGUCCUUUGAAGACAACAACUUCUCAUGUUUUUUAUAUACUCUAUAUUGUAUGUCUUUUGAAUGUUGAAACUUGCUUUGAUGCAAUGUUUAAAUAAUACAACUUUCAACAACGGAUCUCUUGGCUCUCGCAUCGAUGAAGAACGCAGC